UACGUAGGUGGCAAGCGUUGUCCGGAUUCAUUGGGCGUAAAGCGUGCGCAGGCGGUUUUGUAAGCCAGAUGUGAAAUCCCCGGGCUUAACCUGGGAAUGGCAUUUGGGACUGCAAGGCUUGAGUGCGGCAGAGGAGACUGGAAUUCCUGGUGUAGCAGUGAAAUGCGUAGAUAUCAGGAGGAAUACCGAUGGCGAAGGCAGGUCUCUGGGCUGACACUGACGCUCAUGCACGAAAGCGUGGGGAGCAAACAGG
rnacentral:rRNA from 1 species